UACGUAGGCGGAAAAUUAAGUCAGUAGUGAAAUCCUGCAGCUUAACUGUAGAACUGUUAUUGAUACUGGUUUUCUUGAAUAUAGUUGAGGUAGGCGGAAUGUGUAAUGUAGCGGUGAAAUGCUUAGAUAUUACACAGAACACCGAUUGCGAAGGCAGCUUACUAGCUAUGAUUGACGCUGAGGUACGAAAGCGUGGGGAGCGAACAGGAUUAGAUACCCUGGUAGUCC
rnacentral:rRNA from 1 species